AGACCCGAAACCAGGUGAUCUAUUCAUGGCCAGGAUGAAGGCAACGUAACAGUUGCUGGAGGUCCGAACCGACUAGUGUUGCAAAACUAGCGGAUGAGCUGUGAAUAGGGGUGAAAGGCUAAACAAACCUGGAGAUAGCUGGUUCUCUCCGAAAACUAUUUAGGUAGUGCCUCAGGUAUUACCAUCGGGGGUAGAGCACUGUUAUGGCUAGGGGGUCAUGGCGACUUACCAAACCAUUGCAAACUCCGAAUACCGAUGAGUACAGCCUGGGAGACAGAGCACCGGGUGCUAACGUCCGGACUCAAGAGGGAAACAACCCAGACCGCCAGCUAAGGUCCCCAAAAUUGGCUAAGUGGGAAACGAAGUGGGAAGGCUAAAACAGUCAGGAUGUUGGCUUAGAAGCAGCCAUCAUUUAAAGAAAGCGUAAUAGCUCACUGAUCGAGUCGUCCUGCGCGGAAGAUGUAACGG
rnacentral:rRNA from 1 species